rnacentral:tRNA from 1 species
GCCCCGUUCCGAUAUGGGUUAGUCAGCCGCCCUUUCAAGGCGGCAGAGCCGGGUUCGAGUCCCGCACGGGGUA